GAUGCUGAGCCGGAGAGCCAUCAUUUCACAGAGAGACCAGGCAGAGGAGACGGUGUCUGCUUUCAGUCCUCAUCAGCUGUGGCUGGAGAAGGCCGGUGUGUGUCUGAGUCUGAACCUGUUUCAGCCUGCUAAAGUCCUGCUGACUCACACACACCUGACAGCCAAGGCGCUUGGAGACCGGCUGUCAUUGGCUAAGAGUUUACACCUGCUGGCGGUUCUGGCCAAUCAGGAGCAUCGGUUCGGCGAGGCUCUCGCUCUGCUGCAGGAGGCACAAGAGAUCGGAGGAGACGAGGAGUUCUGCUUCCUGCUCACUCAGACGCUCCUAACGACCGUAGUGGAACACCAGGAAGUGGAAGAACAGGAAACGCAUCAUCAGGUGUGUGUGAUCACAGAACAGGCCUGCAGAACCAUCAGAGCUGUUCUAGAGCAGAGACCGAACCGAGCCUCGGUCCUCCGCUUCUUCAUCGCAGAGCUGCAGACCAGGGCUGCCGUGUUUCGUCAGCGUUUGUUGUGUCCUGCAGCUCCACUGCAGUGUCUGACAGAUCUGUCGGUGGAGAUGCUGAGCUCGGUGUGUGACACGCUCAAACACACUGCUGCUGAACUACUAGAGCUGGGAUACAGGACACACUCUUCUGAGGCCAUGCUAGAACACGCCAACACACUGAGAAUCCUGGCUGUUCACUCAUUGAAUGAUGAAGAGAAACAGCGCCACCUUCUGGAUGCGUUCAGGUUGAUGAAGAACGCUGUGUCUCUUCAGGAGCAGGUUCUCACUGAUGUCCUGAAUGUUCUCCCACCUCACGAGUCCGGCUGGCGUGGUGUCCCCGGGGCCCGUGUGUGUGUCCGUCUCAGAAUGGCCCUCGCUGACCUGGCCCUGCUCAUGCUGGAGCUCCAGAGCGCAGAGCAGAAGAGGAAGUCCAUGGCUCGGGACAGGAAGUCAUCAGCAGAGAGAGCUCUGGAGGACUACAUGAGGAGCAGCUCUGAUCCAGAGACGGAGUGGUCAGCUGCGGGCCGGUCUCUGGCUCAGGAGGCUCUGACUCACCUCACAGCGGUCAUCUCUGUCUCACCCGACCGCGUGGAGACCAGGGCCCGCUCCCUCGGCAUGCUGGGAAGGUGUCUGAGGAUCCUGGCUCAGCAGAGAGACCCGCUGUGGACCGAGAGCGACGCGGAACAGGAGGAUAAUGAAGACCAGCGAGUGAAGAUAAAUGAAGCGGAGAAGAAACGAUACGGCGGCAGACGUGCCGAGCUGCAGAGCGAGUGGAGAGCAGCGCAGCAGAUGUUGGCUCAGGCCUCUGAAACUCUCUCUCAGGCUGUGAGUCUGAGUCUUCAUCACAAUCUUCCUCAUCUUCUUCCUGGCGUCUGCUCAGAUCUUCUGGAGUGUCUCGGUCAGUUUGACCCCGGGGCCAGUGGACAGUACCUCGCCCUGCUGCAGAGCGGUGUGUGUUGUGUGGAGAUGUCGUCCGUCCUGGACUCGAUCUGCUCCGGCGUCUGGAGGAGACUGCUCUCUUCACAGGGACACCGGCCGGGCGGCGAGGCCUUCGCUCACCUGACCUUAAACCCAAACCACCUGAGGAUUCUGGGAGAAAUGCCACCGAGCUUCAAGAUCCUGCUGCUCCAGCACUCAGAGGACAGUUCUGUGCUUCACGCUGGUGUUUAUGAGAAGGUUAGGACCUCAGAGACUCAGAAAGGAAAGAGUGUGACAGGUGGUCUGAUCUGCUCUAAGGUGGUUAAGGCCUCUGUUCUUCGCUCCGAUCUGCUGCAGCUCCACAGACUCCUUCAAGAGUUCAGAGAUCUGAACACACACGCGCGUCUGAAAGAGUCGGGACGGAACCGAGCGCGAGAGGACACAGAUGGAAAACCAGAGGUUUGUUUCCGAGCUCUGCUUGAGGAGAUGGAGAACUACCUCCGUCCUGUUCUCUCGCAGUUCGACUUUAGCGAUCGCUCUCCGUCUAUCUCCACGGCAUCGGCCCGAGCCAAAGACAGGGACGAGAAGAGCGCUGAUAAACCUCUGCCGGAUGCCGGUGAUUGUGUGGUGAUUCUCGCCGACCGGACGCUGUUGGAGUUUCCGUUAGAAGCGCUGAAGGCCCUGCGGGUGAAGAGCGUGGGCUCGGUCUCUAGAGACUUCUCUCUGCAGGUUCUUCACGCUCGACUGAAGACGGAGGAAGCAGUUGAAAGUGACAAUAAAAAGGAGGCCAAAGGUAGCAGAGGAGUCAAGGCGAGAGGCGAUCAAAGCCGAGGCAUCAAAGCGGUGCCGGUCAGUCGUGUCCCGCCGCCGAACAGCGUCCCGGUGGACACGCACAGGUUCAGAUAUGUAGCUGACGUUCAGGAGGAAGAUGAUGGAAAGCGGGCCGACUGCAGUCCAGCAGAAGUCUUGAGGAAGACCCUCGACACGUACUCAUCGCAAUUUACACCUCAGUGGGAAGGAUUCAUCGGCCCCGAGCGCAGGCGCAGUCUCGCAGAUCUCGAGCAGAUGCUGACCUCCUGCAGCGCUUUUAUUUACUCCGGGGCAAAAAACUUCUUCUCCUGCGUCCCACCCGCCAAGAUGGCCUCCCUCAACAUGUCCGGAUGUCAGAUGGUUUUUCUCUUUGAAAGCGGUCAGAACAGAGUCAGCGUCCAGAAGAGGCGGAGCAGCCGGGCUUCAGACGGUCCUCUGGGCUCGGCGUAUCUCUUCACUCUCAGCGGGGUUCGCUCCGUUCUGCUCAAUCAGUGGUCCAGCAGCAUCGCAGCGAAUGCGUCAAGCAUGCACUCGCUCAUGGACAGUCUUCUGAGAGCAGGACUGACGUCAGGAAGAGCUGCACAUCUUUUACGGACAGAAAACACCGACGUCGGUGGAAAGUCGCCCGGCCCGACAGCAGACGGGAGUUCAGCUCUGAACGUGGAAGACAUCCAGAGAAAAACUCCUUCUGCGUUCAGCUUUGUUAUAUACGGGCUUCCUAAUUUAGUGGUGACAUGAAGAAGCACUGGAGAUCUUAAACACCGUCCUUCACCCCACACUGUAACAAAAAGAAAACCACAGGAUAUUCGACAUGAGCCGAGAUGUUCACUGAUGGACCGGAGUGCUGUGGAUUAUCAUGACUCUCAUUCUGACGGCACCCAUUCACAUCCAUUGCUGAGACACAUUUCUACAAACCUUAUGAAGAAGCGAACUCAUGCUAAUCUCGAAUGAACUGAGGGGAAGAGGCUCGGUGAAGACGGUCAGAGACAUGCAGGAGUUACUGAAAGAACUGGGUCAGGAAGAGAAACACCCGUGAUUCCUGCAGGAGAAAAAUAAAGUCAGACAGAUGGAUGUCAGUGGCACACACACACACACACACACACACACACACACACUGAUUCAGAUCUGCUCACACAAUAAUUAUCAUGAGGUCUGUUCACAUUAUCUCUCAUGCACUGAUGCUCAAACUGAAGGUCUAAUAAACAAUGAAGCUGCUAAACACUUUCUGCAAGUAUAAAAAACCUAUAACAAAACAUGCAUCAGCUAUAUACGCACAAUUCUCUUUUUAUAUUAUUAUAUUUAUGGUAUAUUGUUAAAUCUAUUUAGAGUAAGUGGGAAUAUUAUAAUGAUUUAUAUAUAUGAUUAUAUAAAUAAAUAAAACUGAUUAUUAGAGUACGUUUUGCAAUAAAAAUACUACUUUACAUUUUUACCGUUAAUUCAUAAAAUCUGCCAACAUUUCAUGAAUUUAAAUUGCUUCUAAUUCUACACCAAAUUAAUGUCGUUGAUGCCAUUUGAAUGCAUAAUGCAUUAUAAAAAAAUUAUAUAAUGUGUUAACAUCUCAUGAAUAAUCAUAAAAACAAUUUAUAGAUUAUAAUAUUUGUGUAUUUGUGAUUAUAACUUUUCAAAAUAUAAUACAGUGCACAUUUAGCAGAACACUGCUUAAAGUGCACAAAUAGCAUUUAUAAGUAAUAUCAGAUAUCAGAUCAGAAUAUUAGUAAAGUAACACAAGUAAAAUAGCAAGAUAUGAGACUUAUAAUGCAUUAUAACUGAGAAAUAUAAUACUCUGAAAAGCUAUAAUAUAUAUAUAUAUAUGAAAUAUACAACAUAUUAUAAUGUUAUUUCAUAUAAUGCCUUAAGAAUACCCUUAUAAUGUUUUGUAAAUACAGGCUUCAUAGAAAGUGAGCGAUAAGAUUUCUGAAAUCUGCAACUGAAGUGAUAUUUAGAUGUAUUUACAGUUUUAUUGUAUCUCAUAGAGGACAUGGAGGAAUUUUACCUGCGGUUACGGAUACAUAAAUAACACUGAAAUUAUUUCAACAUGAAAAAAAGUCAAAAUGUGAACUUCAAACUGCCGCUAUAGGUGACAGCAAGUGACUGAUUCAUUCAAACAAUGUUAAUGAGCGAGUCAGCGAAUCAUUAAUGCAAGCGAUUUGUUCAAAAAACUGAUUCAUUCAAUUAAACACUGUCUAUUGCUAGACGUGAAACAGUGCCUUGAUCUUUGUUUGGGACAAAAUUGUGCAAAAACAGACAACAUAGUGCGUUAAAUAUAAUCUAUUGUGUCUAAAAUAUAGAAGGCUGAGACUUUGUUGAUUUUGACGUCUUCUAUCCUCAUGUGUGAAUCGCUUCGGAUUAAAGCAUCUGUUAAAUGACUAAAUGUACAACGUAAUCAAGUUAACACCACAUUUUUUAAGCUUGCAUAAAAUGCAUGAUUUCUGCAUUUGUUAUCGCGCUGAUAUCUGUUAUAUAUCUCUUUGUGUGACAUAGAUGAACUGUAUUAAAUGAAUAUUAUUAUUGCUUUGCUUCACGACACCACCGGCACACGAGGAUGGUGUCUGCUCUCUUCACGCCAGACGUGUUUUUCUGAGGGUUUGUAUUCAUGGGAUUCGUCCUAAGUGUUUGUGCAGAUCUAAAAUGCAGCAGCACUGCUUUCACUCUCAUGAAUACACAGUCCAGCUUUCUCCAAAUAGACAAGAUCUGUUCUGUCAGCGACGGAUUUGGACACACAGACGCACAUAUGUGAGCUUUCUAUAAUCUGAUCCCGUCUGAAACAGAACAGGACCGUUCUCUAGCACAUUUAAUCAGCUACAUGUAUGCAUAAACUAACCAAUAUAUACACAGGCUAAUAUUUUAGUAUAGGUGUGGUUGGUUUAAAGUUCAUUUAAUAGUUGUUUUGAUGUGGGGAGCGUGUGUAAACAUGCUGUUUGUGAGUGAUAUGGAUGACUCUAUUAUCAGACGCUCUCAUCAUUGUUUUUAUUGUGUUUUUCCACGCUCUGGUUUAGCUGGGGAUCAGAUUAGCAAAUUCAGCUUUUAUUAUGGACAAAUGAGACCUGCAUAUGGGACGUGUGUUUAGAAAAUAUGUGUAUUUAUACAACCAACUGAAGAAGAUUACAUGAAAACACUGACCGUCAUGGUAAUAAAGCACAAAAUCUGCUGUAACAGUGCAGAAAAGCUGCCAAAAUACAGUGCAAAAAAAAAAAAAAAUCAUGAGCAGUGCAAAAGUAUUGGCACCCCUUUUCAUAUAAUGCAAGGGUUGUUGAAAUGAAAACAUCUUUAGUGCUUUUUUUUUUUUUCUUCUUGUUGUUGUUAAACCUGUUCUUCAGUUUCACAGAUGAUUGACAUUUUAAUAAAAAAAUGCUUCAUUAUUUUAUUUAAUGAAAUAAUGCAUCAAUUGAAAACCAUUGCUGUCUGGGUCCAGAGUUCCAACAGAAGUGCACCAGAAAAGUAUUUAUUAGUAUUAAUGAAUCGUAUUUUGAUCAAAUGACCAAAAAUCUGUUGCCAAU